rnacentral:rRNA from 1 species
GUGGGGAAUCGUAGACAAUGGGCGCAAGCCUGAUCUAGCCAUGCCGCGUGAGCGAUGAAGGCCUUAGGGUUGUAAAGCUCUUUCGUGGGGGAAGAUAAUGACUGUACCCCAAGAAGAAGCCCCGGCUAACUCCGUGCCAGCAGCCGCGGUAAUACGGAGGGGGCUAGCGUUGUUCGGAAUUACUGGGCGUAAAGCGCACGUAGGCGGACUGGAAAGUCAGGGGUGAAAUCCCGGGGCUCAACCCCGGAACUGCCUUUGAAACUCCCAGUCUUGAGUUCGAGAGAGGUGAGUGGAAUUCCGAGUGUAGAGGUGAAAUUCGUAGAUAUUCGGAGGAACACCAGUGGCGAAGGCGGCUCACUGGCUCGAUACUGACGCUGAGGUGCGAAAGCGUGGGGAGCAAACAGGAUUAGAUACCCUAGUAGUCC